rnacentral:rRNA from 1 species
GACGAACGCUGGCGGCGUGCUUAACACAUGCAAGUCGAACGGAAAGGCCCUGCUUUUGUGGGGUGCUCGAGUGGCGAACGGGUGAGUAACACGUGAGUAACCUGCCCUUGACUUUGGGAUAACUUCAGGAAACUGGGGCUAAUACCGGAUAGGAUCUCCUGCUGCAUGGUGGGGGUUGGAAAGUUUCGGCGGUUGGGGAUGGACUCGCGGCUUAUCGGCUUGUUGGUGGGGUAGUGGCUUACCAAGGCUUUGACGGGUAGCCGGCCUGAGAGGGUGACCGGCCACAUUGGGACUGAGAUACGGCCCAGACUCCUACGGGAGGCAGCAGUGGGGAAUAUUGCACAAUGGGCGGAAGCCUGAUGCAGCAACGCCGCGUGCGGGAUGACGGCCUUCGGGUUGUAAACCGCUUUCGCCUGUGACGAAGCGUGAGUGACGGUAAUGGGUAAAGAAGCACCGGCUAACUACGUG